AAUCAACGCUGGCGGCGUGCCUAACACAUGCAAGUCGAACGAGAAAGCGGGGGCAACUCCGUGAGUAAAGUGGCAGACGGGUGAGUAACACGUGAACAACCUACCUUUGAGUGGGGAAUAACACCGCGAAAGCGGUGCUAAAACCGCAUAACAUCUUCGGAUCGCAUGACCUGGAGAUCAAAGGCGAAAGUCGCUCGAAGAGGGGUUCGCGCCUGAUUAGCUAGUUGGUGAGGUGACGGCCCACCAAGGCAACGAUCAGUAGCCGGCCUGAGAGGGCGUACGGCCACACUGGAACUGAGACACGGUCCAGACUCCUACGGGUGGCUG
rnacentral:rRNA from 1 species